AUUGAACGCUGGCGGCAUGCCUUACACAUGCAAGUCGAACGGCAGCACGGGGGCAACCCUGGUGGCGAGUGGCGAACGGGUGAGUAAUGCAUCGGAACGUGUCCUCUUGUGGGGGAUAACCAGUCGAAAGAUUGGCUAAUACCGCAUGAGAUCGCAAGAUGAAAGCGGGGGACCGCAAGGCCUCGCGCGAGAGGAGCGGCCGAUGCCGGAUUAGCUAGUUGGUGGGGUAAAAGCCUACCAAGGCGACAAUCCGUAGCUGGUCUGAGAGGACGACCAGCCACACUGGGACUGAGACACGGCCCAGACUCCUACGGGAGGCAGCAGUGGGGAAUUUUGGACAAUGGGCGCAAGCCUGAUCCAGCCAUGCCGCGUGUGUGAAGAAGGCCUUCGGGUUGUAAAGCACUUUCGGACGGAACGAAAUCGCGCGGACGAACAUUCCGCGUGGAUGACGGUACCGUAAGAAGAAGCACCGGCUAACUACGUGCCAGCCGCCGCAGUAA
rnacentral:rRNA from 1 species